GUUAAAGUCCAGUGUUAUUCCAGAAUCAAUGGGAAAUUGACCAAUUCACCCUACAGCAGCGGACAAACUGUCACCAUUCAGAGUCCAAAACCAGAAGUGAGUGUUGAAGUUCAUAAUGACCUGGUUGACAUUUUCUGCUCGCUGCUUGGAUCUGCAAACUCCCAAACAAUGUGUCACCUGUACUACGGAGAAUCACUGCGCCCAUUCCUCACAAAAAAUGUUGAGGUAAAAGCAAUGGACAGCAGAUGGUUUUGCCAUUUUUUCAUCUCUUCAUAUUAUUUGUGGAGAGGUCUUGAUACUUUGAAGACAAAAGAAAUCAGUUGUGACUACAGUUUAGAAAAUGGAGACAAAUCCCCUCGCAGUGAUGGAUACGACAUGAGCGCUUUCAUAAAGAAUGCACCAGUGCCCCAGCCCCAUGUGACUACAGCUGUAUUAGAGCCAGUGAAGACUACAACCCCAGGUCAUGUGACAGG